CAAAAACAAACUGGGACAGAAACUUCGACGAAUGUAUAACACAGAAUAAAACAUUUUAAGGUGUUAAAGAUGUAUUAUUCAAUUAGUUGCCUAUUCUUGGCCAUAAUAUGCCAAGUACUAUCACCGCUCAGCUUUGCAGAUGAAAGCUUUGUUCUCGAGGAGUUCCGAGGCUAUCCGAUGUUUCGCGAAGAUGAGAUCCGAGGUCGGAGAACGGUCGGGAAUAUUAUGCGUAGUAUGGGCUCGGACGACAUCGACGAUUCCGACGUCGGCCGAUUCGACAGCUACUGGGACUCGAGCGCUCGGAAAAAGUCCGAAACUUAUUUCACCAAUGAGCAAGUCGAUAGAGUUCUCGAGGAAGCCUUUCGGGACAAGCCGUUCGCCGAGGAGUCCACGGGUACGGUCCGAGCCAACGUCGGAGAAAGUCUUAUUGGCAAGCAUGCGCACGAUGGUAGUAUACCGCUGAGCAUUAUCGAAAACGAACGCAACGGAAAUCCGUAUCAAAGAGACAUUGUGGAAAAUGAACUAGUAGAGUCGCCAUUUUCUGAUAUGGACACAGGAAUGAAUAUUGGACGAAAGUUUAGGCACAAAGUUGUCUAAAAAUACUGAAGCAACAUGUCUUGUGCAACGUGACAUCAAAAUAAUUUAGUUAUCUAAGUAGCAUUUAGUAUAUAAAAAAUUGGAAAGUUUGAAUGUACAGUUUGGAGUUAAGACGUUGUUUUUUCUUACAAACGAAUCCUUCCGGGCCAACUUGGGCUAAGAAAACAUUGCUCUUUAUCUAUUGCAACGCUGGAUUUGAUCAAGACAAGUCAUCUUAUUUUUUAUCAAAUUCAUCUUAACUGAAGGCCCGCGCGCGUUUGGACAUCUUUAGCAUGUAUAUAGAUAGAUAAAAUUUUCAGUCAAUAUCUAAAAUGUUGUUUAUUUUUUUGCUGGAAAUAAACUAGAAUUUCCUUGUUAA